rnacentral:rRNA from 1 species
CCCUUAGAUGUUCUGGGCUGCACGCGCGCUACACUGAUGCGCUCAACGAGUUUUAACCUUGCCUGGAAAGGUUGGGUAAUCUUUUUAAAACGCAUCGUGAUGGGGAUAGAUUAUUGCAAUUAUUAAUCUUCAACGAGGAAUUCCUAGUAAGCGCGAGUCAUCAGCUCGUGCUGAUUACGUCCCUGCCCUUUGUACACACCGCCCGUCGCUCCUACCGAUUGGGUGAUCCGGUGAAUGAUUCGGACUGACGUUGUACUAGCUACUAGUUCAAUGUUAGGAAGUUUUGUGAACCUAAUCACUUGGAGGAAGGAGAAGUCGUAACA